UUUUGGAGCUUGACCAGGAAAUACAGUCGACUCGUCUGGAUAAGACACAUGAUUUAUCAGAGUGUGAUACGACGAAGACAAUGAAGCUGUUCGUGUUUCUCUUUCUCCUUGUUCACAUGGUGUCAGCAAGUGAGGGAAUGGAGCUGAUGACCGGUACAAGAUGGUGGCCACACAGCUCAUCCGCUCCUACAGGUGGUAGCAGUCGAUGCGGUGUCUACUCUAUAUUAUGUCUACGGGAGCCAACGCAGGCAACUGGAAGACUUGAGAUCAGGAGACUGAGGAGCUUAGUGUCGUACACCGACACAAGCGCUAAACCUGAGAUUCAGGGCGUCCGACCAUGUGGCAGACAGACACGGUCAAAUGAUGUACCACUUCCUCUAAAUAUCUCAGUAUCUGAGGGUCAAUGUCAGUGUACGACACUACAUGCAACAAGCUAUCAGUCAGAUUUUUCACUGCAAAAAGUAAAUAGUCCUGACUGACAGACAUUUGACUGACAUUUUGUUGUGCAUGGUGAAGUGCGUACACCAAUAAAUAAAUCAAUGGAUAAAUAAAUAGCAUUUGUGGCAUAUAUUUGGGUAUUUAUUUAUUUAUUAUUGUGGCAGAAUUGUUCCUCCAUAUGCUCAGGUGUCAGUCAUGGUGUGAAUGAAUUAACUAUUAGAGAAUUAACUACUUUUUUUACUUGGUUUAUCAAUGUUUGAUGACGCUGCAAUGGCCUCUUGAUUUAUUUGUUUGCUUCGUAUAUUGAAUGUACUGUUGCCUUAGUCAGCUGAGGUUGGCGUAAUCCCUUAUUAUUUUUAUAUUGAGAUACAAUGUUGUACAGGAACAAAAGGGAAAUCUAAUGGAAAUAUAAAAAUACUGUGAAUAAACAUAGAACCAAAACUCAUAAACCUGUUUUGUUUGAUUCCCUACUAAAAAUGGACAUAAGCUCAAACCCAGAAAAUGCUGCAUGUCCAAAAAUUGUGAUGCAAGUGUGUGAAAAAAGUGGAAAAAAUAAGACCUUCACAGAAAGCGAAUUGGAGACACUACUCACUGAAGUAGAGGUUCACAACGGGAUUAGUUUUACCUGGGACGUCCUGUGAUUCAUAAAUGACUCUCACAGUUAUAUCUCUGAUGCUAAUCAGAGGACAAUUUACACUUUUUGACAGCUUUAGUUACUUUGCCAAUUAUAAUGGAUAACAAAAAAUUAUAUAUAUGUCAGCUUUGUGUAAGAAUCUCCGUUAACAUAGUGCAGUAGUUAGUCUAAUGCUCGUGGUUUGAGUUUUUCCGAUGGACCGAUGGAGUUUCAGAAGCUGCUCUGUUCCACCGAUAUGAUGAAUGAUUCCUGAGGAAACUACAAAACAUGAGUUUGUCAAUAAAGUUGAUUGGCGUAUCUGCCUGAUGCCCGGUCAACUAUUGCAAUGCAGUAUGGGAUUUGUAGUGCCAAUGGUGCACAUGCAAACUACAUGGGGCCAAUUCUGAUUCUGAUUCUGAUAGAUAACACAACUGGCUUUGAGUUUGACACCUUAAUAUGUUGCUCUUCAUGAUAACUUUAGCCUCUGUGGAGUGUAUGUAUGUGGUGAUGUUAAGCCUUUGAGUCAUUUCAUGGUUAACAUGGUUUAUUUGUUUCGAGCUGAUUUUGUUUUAUUUGCCUGUCCUUAGCUCUUACAGUGUUCCAGAAAGGAAAGGACUCAUGUCCAAAAUAUGAAAUGAAUGACUGUACAUUAAUAAAUUCUUCUGGAAACAUCA